rnacentral:tRNA from 1 species
AUAGCUCAGCUGGAUAGAGCAACGCCCUUCUAAGGCGUGUGUCCGGGGUUCGAAUCCCUGU